CGGCGGACGGGUGAGUAACGCGUGGGUAACCUGCCUCAUACAGGGGGAUAACAGUUAGAAAUGACUGCUAAUACCGCAUAAGACCACAGCACCGCAUGGUGCGGGGGUAAAAACUCCGGUGGUAUGAGAUGGACCCGCGUCUGAUUAGCUGGUUGGUAAGGUAACGGCUUACCAAGGCGACGAUCAGUAGCCGACCUGAGAGGGUGACCGGCCACAUUGGGACUGAGACACGGCCCAAACUCCUACGGGAGGCAGCAUG
rnacentral:rRNA from 1 species